rnacentral:rRNA from 1 species
UAGGGAAUCUUCCGCAAUGGGCGAAAGCCUGACGGAGCAACGCCGCGUGAGUGAUGAAGGUCCUCGGAUCGUAAAACUCUGUUAUUAGGGAAGAACAAAUGUGUAAGUAACUAUGCACGUCUUGACGGUACCUAAUCAGAAAGCCACGGCUAACUACGUACCAGCAGCCGCGGUAAUACGUAGGUGGUAAGCGUUAUCCGGAAUUAUUGGGCGUAAAGCGCGCGUAGGCGGUUUUUUAAGUCUGAUGUGAAAGCCCACGGCUCAACCGUGGAAGGUCAUUGGAAACUGGAAGACUUGAGUGCAGAAGAGGAAAGUGGAAUUCCAUGUGUAGCGGUGAAAUGCGCAGAGAUAUGGAGGAACACCAGUGGCGAAGGCGACUGUCUGGUCUGUAACUGACGCUGAUGUGCGAAAGCGUGGGGAUCAAACAGG